rnacentral:sRNA from 1 species
UGUAAGGUAAUAUGGCAAACACUCCACG